UGGGGGAAUAUUGGACAAUGGGGGAAACCCUGAUCCAGCGACGCCGCGUGAGUGAAGAAGUAUUUCGGUAUGUAAAGCUCUAUCAGCAGGGAAGAAAAUGACGGUACCUGACUAAGAAGCCCCGGCUAACUACGUGCCAGCAGCCGCGGUAAUACGUAGGGGGCAAGCGUUAUCCGGAUUUACUGGGUGUAAAGGGAGCGUAGACGGCAUGGCAAGUCUGAAGUGAAAUGCCAGGGCUUAACCCUGGAACUGCUUUGGAAACUGUCUAGCUAGAGUGCAGGAGAGGUAAGUGGAAUUCCUAGUGUAGCGGUGAAAUGCGUAGAUAUUAGGAGGAACACCAGUGGCGAAGGCGGCUUACUGGACUGUAACUGACGUUGAGGCUCGAAGGCGUGGGGAGCAAACGGGAUUAGAUACCCUGGUAGU
rnacentral:rRNA from 1 species